AUUGAACGCUGGCGGCAGGCCUAACACAUGCAAGUCGAACGAGUGGCGGACGGGUGAGUAAUGUCUGGGAAACUGCCCGAUGGAGGGGGAUAACUGCUGGAAACGGUCGCUAAUACCGCAUACCAUCGGAUGUGCCGAGAUGGGAUUAGCUAGUAGGUGGGGUAACGGCUCACCAAGGCGACGAUCCCUAGCUGGUCUGAGAGGCUGACCAGCCACACUGGAACUGAGACACGGUCCAGACUCCUACGGGAGGCAGCAGUAGGGAAUAUUGGACAAUGGGCGCAAGCCUGAUGGAGCAAUGCCGCGUGUAUGAAGAAGGCUUUCGGGUUGUAAAGUACUUUUAGCGGGGAGGCGUUACUCGCAGAGAAAGCCACGGCUAACUACGUGCCAGCAGCCGCGGUAAUUC
rnacentral:rRNA from 1 species